rnacentral:rRNA from 1 species
UACAGAGGUGGCAAGCGUUGUUCUGAAUUACUGGGCGUAAAGGGCGCGUAGGCGGUCUUUUAAGUCUUGUGUGAAAUCCCUCGGCUCAACUGAGGAACUGCACGGGAUACUGGAAGACUUGAGUUCGGGAGAGGGAAGCGGAAUUCCGGGUGUAGCGGUGAAAUGCGUAGAUAUCCGGAGGAACACCGGUGGCGAAGGCGGCUUCCUGGACCGAUUACUGACGCUGAGGCGCGAAAGCCAGGGUAGCAAACGGG